GACGAACGCUGGCGGCGUGCUUAACACAUGCAAGUCGAACGGUGAAGCGCCUUCCUUUUUGGUGGGUGUGGAUGAGUGGCGAACGGGUGAGUAACACGUGAGUAACCUGCCCCCUUCUUCUGGAUAACCGCAUGAAAGUGUGGCUAAUACGGGAUAUUCUGGGUCUGUCGCAUGAUGGGUCUGGGAAAGAUAUUGUUUCGGUGGGGGAUGGGCUCGCGGCCUAUCAGCUUAUUGGUGGGGUGAUGGCCUACCAAGGCGGUGACGGGUAGCCGGCCUGAGAGGGUGGACGGUCACACUGGGACUGGGACACGGCCCAGCCUCCUACGGGAGGCAGCAGUGGGGAAUAUUGCACAAUGGGCGCAAGCCUGAUGCAGCGACGCCGCGUGAGGGAUGGAGGCCUUCGGGUUGUGAACCUCUUUCGCCAGUGAAGCAGGCCUGCCUCGUUUGUGGGUGGGUUGACGGUAGCUGGAUAAGAAGCGCCGGCUAACUACGUG
rnacentral:rRNA from 1 species